rnacentral:lncRNA from 1 species
GGCCCAGGAAUUUCUGGAGGUAGUGCCAUUUCAGAUCUUCCAUAGCUUUCAGGUGUAUGUUGCGAUGGUGGUAGGGGCCGAGCGACACCAUCUUAGGCUCAUAUGCCUUCGGAUUUACCUCUUGAAAGAUUCUAGGGACUUUGGAGAUGGUCGGCCCAUCGGUGCACCAACCCUCCCAUUUUGUUUCGGCUACCCUCGUCUUCAACGAGCUUAACCAUUCCUCAUUUGUAAUUAUCUCGAUCUUCUCCUCUGCAAUGCUCAUCUUCAGCUUCUUUUUAUUUUUGUUCUUGCUUUUCUGGUGUCUCCCCCAACCUUAACGUACACUAAGGUUCUCGGAGGAAACGAAGGAAGGAAUCCAGAGAAUUAUUGCUCGACGAAUGUGAGAACACAAUAGUCGACCUAUUUCUCCUUAGGAACGCUAGCUUAAUUCAAAUUCGGUUUCUGUCAUGAACAGAUAUAAAACGAAUAGUAUAAACAAAUUCACUAGCCCUUGUUCACAGUAUAAUCAUAAAAACUAUAAUUAUAUUAUUAUAUAAAAAAAUUAAUAAUAAAAAAUAAAAUCAAAUAAUAAUAGAUCAAAUAUACUAUGCGUACAUUUUGAUAUUAUUAAAAAAAAAACCUUUAUCUAAUUUGUUGGCGUACUGUUGUCAGAUUUGAAAGUUGUGACAAUGUCAAUACACAAGAAAACUAGUCUUGCUUUUUCAUCUUUUUCUAUCAUUCAUAGGAUAACCAUUAAUAAUUAGUGAUGGAUUAUGGACUAAGGAAAGACGAGUGAAAAUCUAUAAUUUUUCAAUAAUAAAUCAUAUCGUGUUGUCUCUAGGAGAUCUUAUCUAUUUAUAUAUGAGAAUAGAAAAUCUAAAAUAAGUAAUGAGGAGAGCCUCUCCCAUCAAGUUCAUCUUAUCAUAAUUAGAUUUUUUUUAUUAACUGAUAAUCGUAAUCAGAAUCCAAUCAGAUCUAUAAUAUAUCUUACCUAAUUAGAUAUGACCACAUAAUCUAACAUAGAGUAUAUAUAUGAUGAUAAAAAUUAGCGAAUUUUGUUCAUCUCAACAGUUUGAUCAUUUUACAAUGACUAUAACUUUUAAUAAUAUUACGCCAAAACUAUAUUUAGAUACCAUCCUUUGUCCCAUGAAACAUAUUAUUAGGACCGAUGGAUGAUAAGCAAAAGAGCACUUUUAGUAAUCACUAUACCAGAUAGAAGAUUUAAAAUCAAGUGGAAUCACAUAGAUUAAUAAUUAAAAAAUAUACUUAAUAGUCGACAUAAUAUUUAUGAUAUUCAACAUUCUUUAUCCAUAUUUAUGGAGAAAACUAAUGUAUUAUUGUAUUAUCAACAUUAGAAAUUGAUUUCAUAAUAUAAUUUGAGAUUACUAGUCAAACUUUAUGACUAUGAAAUUUUAUCUCAGAACUUGGUAUAAUUAUAUUCAAUUGUCAAGUUGCUAAAGAUAUUUUGUGACAUACUAUACUAAUUUUUUUCUCUAAAAAUGAUAAAUACUUUAACAGUCUUAAGCAUAUUAGCAUAAAAUACUUGAUAGUUAAAGAAAAAGUUUAAAAACUAGUGUCAAUUGAUAUUUUAAGUUUCACUAUAUUGAUUGAUGAUCCAUUUACUAAGAUUUUAUAGUUUAAGAUUAAAGAAUAUAUUCUUAGAAUGAGGCUUGUAAGCAAUAAAAAAAGAUAUGAUGAUGCAUUUUAAGUAGAUAUUAUUAUUACUAUUUUCUUUUUGUUACUUAAAUUUAUUUGUUCUACUAUCCUGUUUAUAUUUAUGUAUAUAUAUAUUAUGGUUGAAUGUGAUAAUAAAAUUGUCUUGACGAGAUAAAUUAUAAAGAUCAUUAUGAAUUGUAUUAGGAAAGAUUAAUAAUACUAUAGUAUAUAAAAAAGAGUAUAACAUUGAUGAUAUAUGGUCACUAUGACUUGCAUUGAUAGUCAAACUUGAUAUGAUAUUAUGUUUAUUAGGCAUAUUAGUAUGUUUUAUAAAGUUCGCGCACUCAUAUAAAAUCUUUUUGAAAAUUUUAGCAUCCAAUUGGGUAAUAUUAAUUUUAAAUAAAUUUUAUUUUAUUUUAUUUUAGUUUAUUUUUUUAUUUUAUAUCUUAUCAAUUAAUGGGUCAAAUAAAAGAAUGUUAGAUUAUAUGACUUUAUUUAAUUAGUUAAGAUAUAUUAAAGUUUUAAUUGGAUUCUAAUCAAGAUUAUAGACAAGAAAUUCAUUUAUGUUAGGCUUCCUCGAGAGAUAAUGUUGAUGAGAGAAACUCUCCUAAUUAUCUAUUCUAUAUGUUUUGCUCUCACUUAUAUAUAGAGAAGCUCCUAGAGAUUAUAUUAUACAUCAUAUGGAUUAGAUUAUAGAUCAUAUAUCUAUUUUAAUCUUCUUAUAAAUCCUUAUCUAUGGAAGAUAGGAAGAAAAGAGAAUGAAAAUCUAGUUUCUAGAUUUUCCUUCCUAUUAGUGCUAUUGUUAUAUGAAUCUAACUAUAGUGAGUUGCUAGAUCAAAUUAAAGUAUUCUAUCAUAUGGAAAGGUAUGUUGAUCUAAUCUCUAAAUUAUGUUAUUUGAUUUUGAUCUUGACAUUAUGUUAGUCCAUAUAAUUAUAUUUUUUAUGCUUACAUGGAAUUAAAAAAAACUAAAAUGCUGAUUAAAACAUAAUCAAGUAAAUAAGAAAUGUUUGCAUGUAGAGAAAAAGCUAAGAUAGAGAUGUGACACAAAAAAAAAAAGAAAGAAAGGUGUUAAUAGUUAACUCGGAGAAAAGACAUGUUUGCAUCUAAAACUAAGACCUUUUUCUCUGUUUUGCUUACCGUGAAUCAUAUGUGCUAGGGGAGGUGGGGGUGUGUGGUUGGUGUUGGCGGCGGUGGAUGUUGGGGAGUCCGGGGAUGGUGAAGACAUCGACACAUUACCGUGAAUCAGAUUUAUACAGUUGACAGUUUUCUUGUGCGAGGGGCCACCCAAGGAGACAUCCCACAUACUAAGCCACACUUUUGUCUAUCAAAAGACUCGACUUUUGUACCACUUUAUAAUAAUUUAUAUAUUAUAAAUUAUGUCCAAAUUGACAUAAUUUAUAAUAUAUAAUAUAAUCAUAUAAAUAUAUAAGUUGCUUCUUUGUGUUAUAUAGACUAGAUUAGCAUAUCGUUAUCAAUUGGCAUUUAGUCGGGUAUUAACUAGAAACAAACUUUAGAGAAUAUAUGGAUUCAAUAAUGAUAAUUAAGCUGCUUCCAUCCCACUCAAUGGAUCGACCAACUUUAUCCUGUCCUCGGCCUUAGCAUGUCGAAUUAAUAGGUUGCUUCUACUAUGAAAAAGGAAAAGGGAAAAAGAAAAAGAAACGCAACAACUCUCACAAACUUUGGAAUGCCGAAGUUAUAAGCUAAUAUAUUCCAUUUAUUUUCCCAGGAAUUGUAAGCCUUGUGUGGCUCACUUAUAAUUUAAAGUGCAGAUCCACAUGACAGUGGGAAGACAAUUAAAAUGCUACAUCGUCUCGUGUUCAAUCUCAUGCAGCGACAUCUCCUCUAUGCCACCCGUAUCAGUUGGAAUGAAAUCCCAUUUCAUGCUGAAAAAGAAUAUUUUUACAAAAUUGUAUGAAAAGAUGGGAUAAUUAUUUGUACGAUUUUGAUGAAAAGAAGUUACUAUUUGAUCUUUUUCCUAAUUGCGCUUCUGAUAAAAAAAAAGUAUGAUUAGUUGCUGCUUCCUUUGCCAUAAUUAAGAAACUAAUUUGCGUUUCCGUUCAUAUGAGCAGCUUGAACACGGUUGGGAAUUAGUAUGAGAUGAGCCCUGCAGAGGAUUGUAAUGUGUAGAUGAUUAGGAGACUCAUUGAGCGAGAUUAUUUAUACAUGGAAGAGAAAUAGUGGGCAGGAGUUGUUUUAUUGUUAUUCUUUUCGUGGUCAAGACUUUCUUUGGAUAAUGAUAAGCUUAAGAAAUGAGAUUUGCAUAAAAUGUGCAAUGCCUAAAGAAGAGGCCAUUCUCGUUAAUAACCGCACCGCACCGAUGGCUCUGCUAGUUUGUAUUUUCUUAAUGCAAUAAAUAUAUGUUUGGUAAUCUUCAUUUGUUUGCUUAAUGCAAUAAAUAUAUGUGUUUGAUAACCUCCAUUUGUUUCCUUAAUGCAAUAAAUGAAGUUGUCGGGUAGUUUCUGCAUCGCUCGAAUGUAUGCAAAUACUUUUGCUACCUGCAACUAUAUUAUUGCAUUUUAUUAGGUAAUUAAAAUUUGUGUAACGUGCAGAUCAUCAUUAAUUAUUUUUUAAAGAAUAAAUUCUCUGAUACCGUGUUGAAAUUGUUUUUGGAUAGGUGAUCAUCAUAAGAAAAUCAUAAAUAUAGAGGAACUAUAUCAACGAGAAAAGUAUAGACACUUCUAAACUAUAAACUCUUGUUAAUCAUAAGAACUUAUAAUCUUUUAAAACCCUAAAUUUCUCCAUCUUUCCUUACUCUACCACGUCUUUCCAUUUUCUUAUUGUUUCUAAAGCAUUNNNNNNNNNNNNNNNNNNNNACAUUAACUUUUGAAAACAUUAUAUUAGUUCUCCAUUUAUAGAGGAUCAAUUUACUACCUUAAACAAUGACUCAUAUUUUAUGUAAAACUUUUAAAUUAUUUUUUUUCUUUAAUUAUAAAAUUUAAGUUAUUAAUAUGCUUUCUUAAAAUAAAUUUUAUAAAAAAUUAUUAUGAAAAGUUUUAAAAAUUAUUAUAGUGUUAUCUUUGAUUUGAUUUUUGAGUCAUGCAAUCCACAAUAACAUUCGAUUUGUAUUUGAUUUGUUGUAAUUACCUUAAUCGGAUUUGUCAUAUCUACUAGUAACUAUUAUUAUAUUUUUAUUAAAUAAAAUUAGAUAAAUUAUUAAAAAACUAGAUAAUUUAUAUUUUGUUAGGUAAAUUAUCGUAUUUUGUAAUAUUCUCAUAUGACUCAUAGUCAAAUAGAUCUACAUGUCCAUCAUUUAGUAAUUUUUAGAUUCUUCCUUAGUGGAUGUGACUCAACCUACAAUACUAUAAGUAUAUAUUAUUCUAUCUCGUUUUCUCUUGGACAUACUUAUAUUCAUAAUAUGUAAAGCAAUGUCGAGCACAAAUACAUUAUUAUAUAAUAUUUAUCCCGUGAUGAUCUUAUCAUCAAAUAUUAUUGAAUAAUUAUUAUUUUUAAAAACUAAUUUAUAUCCACUAACUAUCAAACAUGAAAUAUAAAUAAUAUUUUUAAUAAUAAUAAAAAUAAAAUAACAUGUAUCCAAUGCAAUAGUAGCUUCACCAAGCAGAUGUAGGGUAACCUUGCCAACAGUCACUAUAACGAUUUUUGCUAUAUUGUCCUCCAUCUUGCCUCUUGUCAAUGUCUCAGAACUUAAAGCACUAUCGAUAUCUAAUAUUUAUGUGUCAUCGUAAGAGUUUUGAUAAAUUGAAAUUGAUCAUGAAUAUACUUAAGACUUCUUUAAGCUUCUGUUUUACCUUAUCUACAAGGUACUUUUUAUAGUUCAACUUCUAGUGUAUGUCUUUACUAUAGUAGAAACACUUGCCCUCGCUCCUUGUUGGGUCAUUUUUAGUAAUUUUUGCUUUGCUCGAUUUGUCUUUAUUGUCGUAAUUCUACUAUGAUUCAUUCAAAAUUUUAAGCAGGAUUUGAUAAUAUGAUACUGUAUAGAAAUAUGCGUAUAUUCUGCAAAUAUCAACGACUGAAUACACACACUAUGUUGACUUGUAUUUGCAAAUGCAGAUUCACAUGUUUGAUGAUCUAAAUUUCUAAGUAUGACCGACGAUUGAUGCGAGAAUCUACAGAAAAGUGAAGAACAAUUAUGAUGAAGUAAUCAUAGGUGACAUCCUGGCAUUCAUUUUCAAUUGCAUUUUGUGAUCAUAUAGCCAAUUUAAUUGUCCUACAAAAUACAUAACUCAGACGCAGGUAAGCAAAAGGAAUGCUUUUGAGCAAUCUCAUACAAACUACUAAGCAAACCCUUUAUUGCUUGCAAUAAAAAAUUACAGUACAGCAUCCAGAGAAUCAUACGGUACCAGUAAGAUUUCAAACCAUACAGGAAGAGGCAAAAGAUAAUAAUAAUAAUAAUACGGAGACUAAUUUGGCGGUCGAACAUAGCUCAGAGCAGAAUAGAUGGUCUGCGUUAUGGUGAGAACGAAGAGCAAGAUAGCUGCAAACACCGAGAUGACCGCCCAAGGAUUACUGAAGUAAUCAUGAUUAAGCCUCGCUCGCCAUUGGUUGCAUUGGUUGGUCCAGUGCUCGUUGACAUCUUUGUAGAUGCCUGAAACAUAACUUUUAUCGUAGUCUAACGUCACCUCCUUGCAAAGUUUGUUGAAGAGAUUAGCUACUUGCUUGCCGUCGCCCAAACCGCUAAGGAUGAUCCCAUGUUGCUGGAGCAACGCGACGUCGGCGGCGGUGUUGAUGAUGCAAUCCAUGAGAGCCGCGUAGGCCGUGACAUGAAGACUGACAUUCUUGGAGCACUGCUCGAAUGCUAUGAGGUUCCUGAGGAAGGUCUCGGUGUCGUCAUCUACCUGAAGUAAGGGAAUCCCCAUCUCACCGUUCUGAAAGGUGAUGUCCAAGAAGUUCGUGGCCUCCUUCUUCUUAAAAUGUACUCCAGCCUCCAUCAGCUGCGUCGCACUUGGAAUCCAUUUCAGCAGGGAAGUUGUGUGGUAAUCUUCUCGAGAGCGACGUAAGUUGUUCCUGUUAGGCUUGUGGCAGAGGGAUGUGGAAGGUUUACCGCCAUCUCGUUUCUUGUAUGGGUCAAUGUAAUAAUGCCAAAGAUGAAGUAUAUGAUGAAUUUUCUUAAUGCCGAUAUUGGGGGGAUUCUCAAUCUUGCUUUUCACGAAAUUGCUGACGAAUUUGAGUGUCCAAUUUUCUAGGGGAUCAGCUGAUUCAGGAAAAGCCGAUUUGAACAGUGUCUGGAGGAGAAGGAAAGGAAGCUGGUUUUCCAGCAUCAGCAUGUCUCGCACGACCACUGGUAGAGUGUACUGUGUACUUGUAAUUGGAUUAUGCACAGCUUCUGUUCCUUUCCCAUCCGUUCGAAGCUGCUUUUCCGACAUCGUCAUCUGUCGCGCGGCCAAGGAAUGCAUCGGUCGCGCAGUGCUCGCGACCACGGAAUGCAUCGGUCGCGCAGUGCGGAACCAUGACCGCGUACAUCUAAUUUGUUUAUCUACUGUUUUUUCUUCUUCUUGUUUUUCCACAUUCGAGUGUAUGAUCUCAAUCACGAAACAGCAGUCAAGCAGCAUCAUCUGAACGAACUCAUCACUAGUCAUGUCCACUUUUUCUGAAUAGGCCAUACGUGCCUUGUCCUCUCUUUCCCUGAUCUGCUCGAUGUAGUCUUCCAGAGACAUGCGGGGGUUUCGGCCCAGGAAUUUCUUGAGGUAGUGCCAUUUCAGAUCUUCCAUAGCUUUCAGGUGAAUGUUGCCAUGGUGGUAGGGGCCGAGCGACACCAUCUUAGGCUCAUAUGCCUUCGGAUCUGCCUCUUGAAAGAUUCUAGGGACUUUGAAGAUGGUCGGCCCAUCGGUGCGUCAACCCUCCCAUUUUGUUUCGUCUACCCUCUUCUUCAACGAGCUUAACCAUUCCUCAUUUGUAAUUAUCUCGCUCUUCUCCUCUGCAUUACUCA